UGCUUACCACUUUGUGAUUCAUGACUGGGGUGAAGUCGUAACAAGGUAACCGUAGGGGAACCUGCGGUUGGAUCACCUCCUUACCUUAAAGAAGC
rnacentral:rRNA from 1 species